AGGACCAUAUCAUGUUGAAACAUUGGUUCCUGUAUAAUCACCAAAGUUAAGCAAUAUCGAGCCUGGCUGGUACCUAGAUGAAUGGCCACUUGGGAAUACCAGGUAUUGUAAG